CCAGUGUUGGCAUCUCAUAAUGAUCUGCUUUCAUUCAGUCAUCCUAAUCCGCAGGUAAAAUUCAACUUUGUCCAUUCUGUCCGUGAAUUUGACUUGGGCCUGCUGUGUGUGCAGACUGGAUCCAACGUCUUUCUGGAUCAUCACCCCCAGGAAAUGCCUAGGAACCACCUCACAAGCAAGCAGCCAAGGCUGGGGAGAUGUUUCCACCAGUACAGUGCCUGCCUCUCAAGCAUGAGGGCCUGAGCUUGAUCCCCACACAGACUGUCAGGUGUGAUGGAAGGAAGC
rnacentral:lncRNA from 1 species